AAAUUGAAGAGUUUGAUCAUGGCUCAGAUUGAACGCUGGCGGCAGGCCUAACACAUGCAAGUCGAGCGGUAGCACAGAGAGCUUGCUCUCGGGUGACGAGCGGCGGACGGGUGAGUAAUGUCUGGGAAACUGCCUGAUGGAGGGGGAUAACUACUGGAAACGGUAGCUAAUACCGCAUAACGUCGCAAGACCAAAGUGGGGGACCUUCGGGCCUCAUGCCAUCAGAUGUGCCCAGAUGGGAUUAGCUAGUAGGUGGGGUAACGGCUCACCUAGGCGACGAUCCCUAGCUGGUCUGAGAGGAUGACCAGCCACACUGGAACUGAGACACGGUCCAGACUCCUACGGGAGGCAGCAGUGGGGAAUAUUGCACAAUGGGCGCAAGCCUGAUGCAGCCAUGCCGCGUGUGUGUGAAGAAGGCCUUCGGGUUGUAAAGCACUUUCAGCGGGGAGGAAGGCGGUGAGGUUAAUAACCUCAUCGAUUGACGUUACCCGCAGAAGAAGCACCGGCUAACUCCGUGCCAGCAGCCGCGGUAAUACGGAGGGUGCAAGCGUUAAUCGGAAUUACUGGGCGUAAAGCGCACGCAGGCGGUCUGUCAAGUCGGAUGUGAAAUCCCCGGGCUCAACCUGGGAACUGCAUUCGAAACUGGCAGGCUAGAGUCUUGUAGAGGGGGGUAGAAUUCCAGGUGUAGCGGUGAAAUGCGUAGAGAUCUGGAGGAAUACCGGUGGCGAAGGCGGCCCCCUGGACAAAGACUGACGCUCAGGUGCGAAAGCGUGGGGAGCAAACAGGAUUAGAUACCCUGGUAGUCCACGCCGUAAACGAUGUCGAUUUGGAGGUUGUGCCCUUGAGGCGUGGCUUCCGGAGCUAACGCGUUAAAUCGACCGCCUGGGGAGUACGGCCGCAAGGUUAAAACUCAAAUGAAUUGACGGGGGCCCGCACAAGCGGUGGAGCAUGUGGUUUAAUUCGAUGCAACGCGAAGAACCUUACCUGGUCUUGACAUCCACAGAACUUUCCAGAGAUGGAUUGGUGCCUUCGGGAACUGUGAGACAGGUGCUGCAUGGCUGUCGUCAGCUCGUGUUGUGAAAUGUUGGGUUAAGUCCCGCAACGAGCGCAACCCUUAUCCUUUGUUGCCAGCGGUCCGGCCGGGAACUCAAAGGAGACUGCCAGUGAUAAACUGGAGGAAGGUGGGGAUGACGUCAAGUCAUCAUGGCCCUUACGACCAGGGCUACACACGUGCUACAAUGGCAUAUACAAAGAGAAGCGACCUCGCGAGAGCAAGCGGACCUCAUAAAGUAUGUCGUAGUCCGGAUUGGAGUCUGCAACUCGACUCCAUGAAGUCGGAAUCGCUAGUAAUCGUAGAUCAGAAUGCUACGGUGAAUACGUUCCCGGGCCUUGUACACACCGCCCGUCACACCAUGGGAGUGGGUUGCAAAAGAAGUAGGUAGCUUAACCUUCGGGAGGGCGCUUACCACUUUGUGAUUCAUGACUGGGGUGAAGUCGUAACAAGGUAACCGUAGGGGAACCUGCGGUUGGAUCACCUCCUUACCUUAAAGAA
rnacentral:rRNA from 1 species